CUAUUGUGGAUGAUGCGUGCAGGGGCUGCUGGAGAACACGGAGAAGGACAGGGUCCGGAGGCUGAUAGGUUCAAGCCUCCCGUGGAGCCAUGAUUUUCCCAGUUGAUGGAUCUUUCCUGUGCACGCUGGCAUCCAGGUCGGCAACGCGUGCUGGGAACUUUACUGCCUCGAGCACGGCAUCCAGGUCGGCAACGCGUGCUGGGAACUUUACUGCCUCGAGCACGGCAUCCAGCUUGAUGGCCAGACGAACGGUGAGAAGACCAUCCGGUGAUUCGCUGCUUGCAAACAACAGCUAGUAAAUCGGUCACCGUGGGGGCGGGGACAUGAGAUUCAGAGAAGAGAUGCUGCUGCCUGCCUAUACUAGUUCAUAUGCUCGUCCCUGGACCAGAUGUUCAAGUACAGCCCCAUCCACCG